rnacentral:rRNA from 1 species
AUUGAACGCUGGCGGCAAGCCUAACACAUGCAAGUCGAACGAGUGGCGGACGGGUGAGUAACGCGUGGUAACCUGCCUAUUAGAGGGUGAUAACUAUUUGAAACGAUAGCUCAUACCGCAUACUAGUAGAUGCACCUGCGUUGUAUUAGCUAGUAGGUAGGGUAAUGGCCUACCUAGGCGACGAUCCCUAGCUGGUCUGAGAGGAUGACCAGCCACACUGGAACUGAGACACGGCCCAGACUCCUACGGGAGGCAGCAGUGGGGAAUAUUGCACAAUGGGCGAAAGCCUGAUGGAGCCAUGCCGCGUGAAUGAAGAAGGCCUUCGGGUUGUAAAGUACUUUCAGCGGGGAGGCGUUACCCGCAGAAGAAGCACCGGCUAACUCCGUGCCAGCCGCCGCGGUAAUUC